rnacentral:rRNA from 1 species
AGAGUUUGAUCAUGGCUCAGGAUGAACGCUGGCGGCGUGCAUAACACAUUCAAGUCGAACGGGACAAUGGGGGCGUUGCCUCCAUUGUCUAGUGGCGGACGGGUGAGUAACGCGUGAGCAACCUGCCUAUGCGAGGGGGAGUAACACAGGGAAACUUGUGCUAAUACCGCAUAACAUAUACUUUUUGUCAUGGAAGGUAUAUCAAAGAAAAAAUACGCGCAUAGAUGGGCUCGCGUCUGAUUAG